GAUGAACGCUGGCGGCGUGCCUAAUACAUGCAAGUAGAACGCUGAAGGAAGGAGCUUGCUCUUUCCGGAUGAGUUGCGAACGGGUGGGUAACGCGUAGGUAACCUGCCUGGUAGCGGGGGAUAACUAUUGGAAACGAUAGCUAAUACCGCAUAACAGUAGAUGUUGCAUGACAACUAUUUGAAAGGGGCAAUUGCUCCACUACCAGAUGGACCUGCGUUGUAUUAGCUAGUUGGUGAGGUAACGGCUCACCAAGGCGACGAUACAUAGCCGACCUGAGAGGGUGAUCGGCCACACUGGGACUGAGACACGGCCCAGACUCCUACGGGAGGCAGCAGUAGGGAAUCUUCGGCAAUGGACGGAAGUCUGACCGAGCAACGCCGCGUGAGUGAAGAAGGUUUUCGGAUCGUAAAGCUCUGUUGUAAGAGAAGAACGAGUGUGAGAGUGGAAAGUUCACACUGUGACGGUAUCUUACCAGAAAGGGACGGCUAACUACGUG
rnacentral:rRNA from 1 species